GCCUGAGUGGCCGAGCGGUUCAAGGCGCUACAGUCUGGAACACUGCUGCUACGGUCGCAGGUUCGAAUCCUGCCUCGGGCA
rnacentral:tRNA from 1 species